AGGCGCUCUGCUGGGCCAUAACUGACGCUCAUGGACGAAAGCCAGGGGAGCGAAAGGGAUUAGAUACCCCUGUAGUCCUGGCCGUAAACGAUGAACACUAGGUGUCGGGGGAAUCGACCCCCUCGGUGUCGUAGCCAACGCGUUAAGUGUUCCGCCUGGGGAGUACGCACGCAAGUGUGAAACUCAAAGGAAUUGACGGGGGCCCGCACAAGCGGUGGAGUAUGUGGUUUAAUUCGAUGCAACGCGAAGAACCUUACCAGGGUUUGACAUCCUGCGAACCCCCUGGAAACGGGGGGGUGCCUUCGGGAGCGCAGUGACAGGUGGUGCAUGGCUGUCGUCAGCUCGUGUCGUGAGAUGUUGGGUUAAGUCCCGCAACGAGCGCAACCCACGUCGUUAGUUGCCAGCAUUCAGUUGGGCACUCUAGCGAGACCGCCGGUGAUAAACCGGAGGAAGGUGUGGAUGACGUCAAGUCAUCAUGCCCCUUACAUCCUGGGCUACACACGUACUACAAUGCUACGGACAAAGGGCCGCAAGCUCGCGAGAGUUAGCAAAUCCCAUAAACCGUGGCUCAGUUCAGAUCGUAGGCUGCAACUCGCCUACGUGAAGGAGGAAUCGCUAGUAAUCGCAGGUCAGCAUACUGCGGUGAUACGUUCCCGGGCCUUGUACACACCGCCCGUCACACCAUGGAAGUUGGCCACGCCCGAAGUCGUUACUCCAACCCGUAAGGGAGGAGGACGCCGAAG
rnacentral:rRNA from 1 species